CUUAAACUCCACAGAAACAGACGGAGAGAGAAGAUGAAAGAGUAUUGAGAGAGAGAGACGGUUUUGGAUUGGGUUUGUUGAUUGUCCGAUUGUUUUGUUUGCUUAAUGAUUUGCAUGUUCUCCUUUGGCUACGAUUGCCCUGCAUCUAAGGACUCUAGGCAACAGCAGCUCCGCAAGUUCGUGUCGUUGUUAUGGGCAACAUCAAAGACGGAGACUUUGCUUUCAGCUGGCUCAUCAAGUCAUUUUAUGGGGGAAGACCUCCAAUCCCUUAAGUAUGAAAGAGCUUCAGAUUUGGAGCAGCAACUUAACUCUGAAGCACAUAAGAUCUAGAAAGAAUCAUUUGAUCAAUUUGGAUGAAAAGAAGUUUGGUAUCAACCCCUAACAAAAAUCGAAAGAGGCAUAUAUAGUGGGAACAAAAAGACCUGCAGCAAAGCGCGGGCUGCCUCACUAGUUGUACAUUAUACAUACAUCUAAAGUUGAACCCACUGUUCAUAAGCGCCUGAAAUGGAGUGACGCUUUUGCCCCUGCUUUGUUCCUUCAAUUACAGGCAGCCAUUUUUCUAGUGUCUUCAUAUUUGACAGCUGUUCACGGGAGAGUAUGGUAUUAGAAAUUUAGAAUAGAGAGCAGACGAGAGGACGAAGGCGAUAGAAGAUACUACAGUGUCGGAUUAGAAAGAAGAAGAGGCGAAGUUGGUCUAACUACCGGAUUCACCAUUUUUUAGGGUUUUGAAAGGCUGAAUAUUGGAGGGGUUUUGUUUGUGUUUGGGAUCUGAGCAAUUGAUUGGAAGAGGUGCGUGCCAAGAUUUUGAUCGAUUUUGGGAGGGAGCUUUCAGCAAAAUAAGAGGAGAUUGGCAAUUGGGUGAAAGAAAAAAAAAGACAACUAUAAUAUGAUUUAUGAUAAAAUCAACUGUUUGUAAACCAUCGAGUAAAUUGGAAGAAGAAGGGGCAAAUUGAUCAUCCCAGGGAUUUCCAUAAGCAUAUCAAAAGAGGCAGCUAAUACAGUUCGAGAAGAAUCUUAGAACUCAGAAAAGAGCACAUCAGUUGAUAGCAGAAAAGUUUGGACAAGGGAACAUUCCAACUUUUUUGUGCCGCAGCAUCGCGCGGCUGGGUUUUCUAGUUAUAACUAUACUAAAACUGAAACAGGAAAAUGACAAGCAAAAUGAAUAGUGACUUGAUGGUUUUGCCCCUACCCCUGUAAUCAAAUUACUUCCAUUUGUCCCUGCCACCUGUUAAUCCGUUGAGCUACCACCGAAUGCUUCACACGUCUUCCUUUCUCUGCUCCGCAGAAGCGGAUAGAAUGUGACAGGGGUACAGAUUGUUUGCCUGGCAAAAAGAGAGACAGAGAGGUUGUUCCCUCAAUAACAUUGGUUUUACCCAGGUGUUGCUGAGAUUGAUAUUGAUUUUGGUGCAUUUGGAUUUUCAAUCAGGAUGAGAGCAGUAUCGAAAUUGUAUGAGACGAUAGAGAUGAGAGUGCAUAUGGACUGCCCUGGAUGUGAGAGCAAGGUUAGAAGUACACUUCAGAAGCUAAAAGGUAUCGACAACGUUGAAUAGACAUGGCUCUGCAGAAGGUCACAGUGACCGGGUGGGCAAGGGCAAGGGGGUUGUCUUUUUGAAGCAGCUUUCUUCUGGCUUGCUUUUGGUCACUGGGCCAUUUAGAUUAAUGGUGUUCCUCUUAGACCGGUGAAACAAUCUUAUGUUAUUGGAACUUCAACCAAGGUUGACAUCUCCGGUGUUGAUGUGGAGAAGUUUGAUGACAAGUACUUUGCCAAGGAGGGUCAAAAGAAGAAAAACGAAGGGAGAAGGCGAGUUCUUUGAAGCGGAGAAGGAGGUGCUUCGAUUCUUAUUUCCGACGAGGGAUGACUUGCCACUCAAGGAUUCCUCCUCACAAGCAAAGGCAUGUUUUAUAAAGCCCUACUCCAAGUUCAAGAUACCUUCAAACUUUAAGAAUCGAGAUGCUUAAAACUUUAAAAGUAUUCAUACUCUCUUCAACAGAACUGCAGAUCUAGGGUGCCAAAAUGAAGACCAACUUUGACCCUUCACAAAUUUUUCGGAGGACUGGCAUGUCUUUCUUCUAGAUCAAUUUAGUUCGGAGACGUAUAAAAUUCAGGAAGUAAAGAAUCCGCAGCAUUGCGCGGACCUUUUUGCUAGUUUAAAACUAAAUAAGCUUGGUUGAGUGUAUUAAAAAUUUUGUUGGGUAUAUCCUUUUUUUUUUUUUUUGAAAUAUUGAGUAUAUUUAGAAGCACCCAGAAUUUUUUCAAAAUUUCGGCCGAAUUAAUACAUGUUAAAGUAGCGAAGAACAAAACAAGGAUGACCCAAACUCACGACAGCCAGUUGGGCGUGUUUAAGUACAAGCUGAACCAGACGACCCAAAGUCAGGAGCCCAUCUACUGCAAAAGUAAACACAAAGCGCAGAAAACCAAAAGGAGUUUCGUUAACCCCCAGAGGAACUCUACAGCCAAAAGCGAAAGUUGGGUGGCGAGGAGAUGCUUCCUCGAUGAUAUUCUUCAAUCCCUGGAUGCCGGCGGGAGAGAUAUAAUCAAUUAUGGUUAGUUCUUCACUCAUUCAUCUAUGGAGAUAUAUGAAUGAUUUCCCAUUGACUUGGUUACCUUUAUGGAUGGCUACUCCUAUUUAUAAUCUUUAUAUUGAGUAGUUCAAAUUGAAGCUAAGGGUCCGUACUAGAGGGUUGUGGGUACUCUCACUCAUUUUUGCCAUCCCCAGUUGGACUCGGAUUUGAAUUAAGGGGUCGCGACUCUUUCAAUUUUUUCAGUAAAUUUCUGUUUGGAUUGGGAUCAAUGUUUUCCUUUGUUCAUUAGGAGUGGUUGAUUAAGGUUCUAUGGCUGUAUAAAACCAACCUCCCUUAGAGUGAUUUUUAGAAAAAUCGAAAAUGGUGCAGAGAUUCUACCCCAAACGCUGCAGCAGCUGCUGCUUAGCAGAAACCAUAGCCAACACUGAAGAACUCCUUACCGAAAUCCUUGUGCGUGUGCCAGCUACACCUCUGGUCCGCUUCAAAUGUGUCUCCAAGCACUGGCUCUCUUAUUUCCGACCCCAAAUUCUGUCACCGCCACACCCUUCAAAACCCAAACACUCCCAUCUCUGCCGUCUUCUGUGACACCCCCCCUCUCUCGUUUCGUCCCUCUUCCUCUGGAUGAUCAUCAUACCAGUAGUAAUAACCAUGAUAACCAAAACCCAGAUCUGGGUCAGGUUCACCCUUCAAUCCUCUCAGUGUAGUUCAAAACCAAUACAAUGAUCACAUCAGAGUUAUCCAGUCCUGCAACGGCCUCUUCUUGUGCCAUCUUUUGAGUGCAACAGAAGUGAAACCCACCCCCCCCCCCGGUAUUUUAUUCUCAAUCCCACAACCAACCAGUUCUCCACACUUAUUCCUCCAGCUACUGCUGUUACUAACGAUGCUGGUCAACAAGUAGAACCCUAUAUCAUCAGUAUUGCUUUGGCUUUUGACCCUCCAAAUCACCUCAUUACAAGGCGGUCUGCCUACGGACCAAAAUGUGGCCGGCACUUUCACAUGCUGAUAUAUUCGUCUGAGACUUGAAGUUGGAAGCUUUUUGACUCUUCUUUCUCUAGGGAAUUUCAAAUCCUCUAUGAACGUGUUGUAUACUGCAAUGGAGCAAUUCACUGGUUAGGCAUGUUUAGUGAGUUGUCUUACUUUUGUGUAGAUGAAGAGUGUAUUGGAGUUGUAGAUCCUCCUCCUCGCUGUAAAGAGAAGAACUCUUUGACAAGAGGAUAUUUAGAUAUUUUCGGGAGUCUGGUGACAGGCGCCAUUUGCAUCUUAUUGAUAUUUAUGUGCCUUGUAUCUCUCAAUUUGAAGUUUUGGAGAUGGGAAAGACUACUCUGGCUGGUUUGUCGAGUACUUUGUUGACCUUGAUCCCAUAUGCACUGCUUACCCCUGGUUUUGAUUGGAUCGAUUUAUCAUUCUCUUUCUAGCUCAAGACAAAAUUGAAGGAGAGGAAUGUUCAUCUCUGUUGCUGCAUACAGCUGGCAAAGUCAUCACUUAUAAUCUUAAGAGUAAGACCUUCAAAUCUUUUGAGUUAGCUCCCAAGGCCGGUGUUGAUGAUUGUCUCUUACGAGUUGGUGAAAAAAAUUAUCGGCAUUUUGUGGAGCACCGGCUACGAAGCAAGCUCUCCCAAUCCACGAAGC